CUUAUGUUUGCUAUUUUUCUGGUUUUUCUCUUUCCCACAAAAUAUGUAAUAGGAGACGGGAGGUCAGGAAAAGGGGAGAGAGAGAAAAAGAGAGAAGUUGCUUCUUUUGAAGAUGUCCAGAAUCCACAGUAGUCUACCUGCUCAGACUCAAUGGGGUUUUAUUUGUAACCCCCAGUCUAGUGGGCAGCCCUGUAUAGCCUUUCUUCCCAUCAUGGCUGUUUGAAUCUUUCAGGUUAAUAGCAUGAAUAUUAAAGACUCCAGUGGGACUCUUUAUCCACAAAGGAAAUUGGGAUCAGGUUAAAAAUCCAAUUUUAAUAAACUUUCCAAGUCCUGAUUUAGAUGAGGUACUAAUGGCUCUUACUGCUGAAUCACCUUAAAAGUCAAAUGUAUUUUUAAAAGGGAAGCUUGUUGGGUAUUGUUUAAUUGUGCAUUGCACAUUCCUGUCUUAAUAGAAAAAGAUCAUCUGUAAAACUUAUGAGAGCAGAUAGGAAAUGCCACUAUCCACAGAGCCAGUUGGGUAGAGGGAAGGGCGUUGGGUUUGAAAGAUAAUUUUCACUCGUUUGACCAAAACAAAGAGAGCAUGAUUGCACUGUGUGAAAAUGAUAUCCUCGAAUAACUCCACUAAUUUGAUUGUGCUGAGGUCUAGAAUUGUUUCUAUUUCUUUUGAUUUGCUAAUUAGCUAGAGCAGUCCGCUAGUGAGAGGGGAAAUGAGGGUCACAGCCAUAAAACAUGGAGGAUUGUUGUUCCUUCCAACUCAGCUCACCCAUCUCAUGCCUCCCCAACCAUCCCGUCCCAACGCCCAAUUUUGUCUCUGUGUAUGUAACAACAAUCCAUCCAUCUAUGACAAAUUGAGUGAUUCUUUUCUGAAAACAGGAUUUUUAAGAUUAUCUACUUUAUGACACCAAAUUUGACACAUCUUGGCAUAUGUGGUUAUGAGGUCCAGUUAUGACUUUUAUGAUGUUUUCCUUUAUGAAUCCUGCUCCCUGCCUUGCCAAGUUAAAAUUAUAUCUUAUGAUUACAUUAGUAUAAAGGUGAGUAUAUUUUCUUCUUUAUUUAAAUAUCUUCUUUAAUCUAAAAGUUUAUCUUUUUCUGAUUUUUAGAAGAAAUUAAAUCAUUUUUGGGAAGCCCUCAAGGUACCAUAAGCUCUGGGCAGUGUGCCUAAGACUUCUAAUGGAGAAUUUAGCCCUGUGCAGAUGAUAUUGCAGAGGAGGAAUGCUUAGUUAAUUUAGAAGGAAAAAAUUGGACACGGAGAUAAGGACAGAGGAAAGAUGAUGUGAAGACAGGGGCAGAAGUCAGCCAUCUACAAGUCAAAGGGAGACAUGUGGAACAGAUUCACCCUCACAGCCCUCAGAUGGAAGCAACACCACUAACACUUUGCUCUUGGACUUCUAGCUUCCAGAACUGAGAGACAAUAUCUUUCUGUUGCUUAAGUCAUUCUGUCUGUGAUACUGUGUUUAUGGCAGCCCUGGCAAACUAAUACAGUCCCACAAAGAUUUGGUUGUUGCUUUGCAAGAGAAUGUAUAAUUCCUGGUUAUUUCUACAAAUAAGGGCAUUGACUUUAUAAAGCUACAAGUAUACCCCAGUAUUCUGUUUCUGGUUUUUGUUUACUUUCAUAUAUGCUAUCUUUUCAUUCCCAGGUGAAAUCAUAGUGCAUUUUAAAUGAUAUUUUAAAGAGCAAUUAUACUCGUCAUAUGUACUUCAAAUAAUACUGAUUCCUCAAUUGAAGUAAUGGUAACAUGAGUGUAUUAGUUAAUUUUUUCUGAAUAACUAGUUACCUCCAAAGUUCAUGCCUUCAAGCAACACAUAUUCAUUAUUUCACAGCUUCUUUGGGUCAGGAGUCUUGGCAUAGCUUAGCUGAGUCCUCUGGCUCCUGGCGUCCCAGGCUGUAAUCAAGGUGGUGGCCAGGACUGUAGUCAUGUCAGGGCUCGCCAGGGAAGGAUCUGCCUCCAAGCUAACCAGUGUGGCUUUUGGCAGAAUAUAUUUCUAUGCAGGUUGUUGGACUGAGUUUCUUGCUGGCUGUUCCAGAGGUUCCCUUAGCAUCUUGUCGUGUGGCCUCUUCAUAGGUCAAUUCAUAUUGGCUUCAUCAAAGUGAGCAGGUAAGAUAGCAAAAGAGAAUGCCCAAGAUAGAAGCCAUAGUCUUUUUGUAAUCUAAUCUUAGAAGUGACAGCCUGUUAUAUUUGCUAUAUUCUCUUUGUUAGAAACAAGUUUCUAGGGCUGGGCAUGGUGGCUCACAUCUGUAAUCCCAGCAUUUUGGGAGGCCGAGACAGGCAGAUCACCUGAGGUCAGGAGUUCGAGACCAGCCUGGCCAACAUGGCGAAAUCCUGUCUCUACUAAAAAUACAAAGCCGAGUGUGGUGGCGCAGGCCUGUAAUCCCAGCUACUUGGGAGGCUAAGGCAGGAGAAGCACUUGAACCUGGGUGGUGGAGGUUGCAGUGAGCCAAGAUUGUGCCACUGCACUCCAGCCUGGGUGACAGAGUGAGACUCCAUCUCAAAAAACAAACAAACAAAAAACCAAAUUACUAGGUUUGUCUCAUUCUCAAGGGAAGAGUUUACUCAAGAGAAUAAAUACCAGGAGGUUGGGAUCACUGGAGGCCAGUUUAGAGUCUGCCUACCAAUAGGAGCAAGGCCAUCAAUGUCAGUCAGUGACAUCAACAUCAUGUAGACUGCUUGGCCAACAGUAAUGCUAAAAUGCCAUCAAUCUUGAGAUCAUCUUCAUCUCAUAAAUAUUAACAUGUAAAAAAAGUCAUUUUAAAGUAAAGAAAAUAUGUUAUUUUUUAACAUUUGAAACAGCCCCUGAAGUCAUGUUUUAGAACAUUUUCUCAUCAUUUUUUGUGUGACUUUUAUAAUAUCUUUUAUAUUAUAUGUUAUAAUAGGGAAUAAAGAAAGUAAAAUAACUCCAAAUCAAAUUUUGAGCACUUACCAAUUAUUAAAUCAUUUAAACAGUCAGGAAAUGGAUACUACUGUGUUCUAGAAAUGGGUACCAACUCUCAAAAUGUUUCACAUACUCAUGGAAAUAACAUGGCUUUAAUGGAAGGGCUUAGGGAGUUCUGCUUCAAGCUGGCUGAUCAGAAAAAGGAGAAGCCUCAGAAAGGAAGUGGGAUCUGUACAUGCACCCAGGAAGCACAGCUUUAGUGUCAAUGGAGAAGUUUCGAAUAGCAAAAUUCUCCACUGAACUUGCUGAAAGCACGAGAGGAGAAAGAAGCAUUUGCAGGCCCAGAUGAUACCUAAGAGAGGACUGUGCAUUGCUUUUCAACCUCCACAUGUCAGUACUCAAGGGAUAAGCUGAAUUUUAAAAAUUUACUUUUGUAUUUGUUUCAUUGUAUAUUACUACCUGUUCACUAUAGCUAAUUGGGAAACUUACAAAAAUUAGAAAUAAUAAGAUUCCUCUUUCCCCAAAGUCACCACUAUCCUGAAUUUUAAAACUAGAGCUUACUUUUGCAAUCUUGACACUUUAUUUCACUACCGUCAUAUAGUAUCCUUCUGUGUCUCAGUCCUUUUUCUUUUUUUGACAUUGUUAUGAAGUUCAUCCAUGUUGUUGCAUGGGCUAAGGCUCAUUUUUAUUGCUGAAUAAUGUCAUAUUGUAUGAAUGUACUAAAUAUUCUUAGUCAUCCUUCUGUUGAGGGUAUUUGUGCUGUUUCCAGUUAGGACUUUCACAAAUCAUGGUUUCAUGAACAUUCUUUGUGAUGGCUAAUAUCAGGUGUCAACUUGAUUAGAUUGAGGGAUGCCUAGAUGGCUGGUCAUUGUUUCUGGGUGUGUCUGUGAGGGUGUUGCCAGAGGAGAUUGAUAUUUGAGUCAGUGGACUGGGAGAGGAAGAUCUCAUGCUCCUCAAUGUGAGUGGGAACCAUCCAAUCCAUGGCCAGCAGUCCUCUCUCAGACAAAAACAAAGCAGGUGGAAGAAGGUGGGAUAAGUUGGCUUGCUGAGUCUUCUGGCUUUCAUCUUUCUCCUGUGCUGGAUCGUUUUUGUCCUUGGACAUCAGACUCCAUGUUCUUCCGCCGUUGGACUCUUGGACUUACAGCAGUAGUUUUGCUGGGGGCUUUUGGGCCUUUGGCCACAGACUGAAAACUGCACUGUCAGCUUCUUUGGUUUUGAGGCUUUUGGACUCAGACUGAGGCACUAUUGGCUUCUUUCUUCCCCAGUUUGCAGAAGUCAUAUUGUGGACUUUGCCUUGUGAUCGUGUGAGCCAAUUCUUCCUAAUAAACUCUCUUUCAUAUAUACAUAUAUCCUAUUAGUUCUGUUCCUCCAGAGAACCCUGACUAAUAUACUCAUAGAUAUGCUUUUUGGUACACGAUUUCAAGCAUAUAUUUGGUGUAAACCUAAGAGUGAGAUUGUCACAUCACAGGACUUUCAAAUGCUCAACUUGAAUGGUUAAUGUUGAACUGCUUUCCAAAGAAGUGAGGCCAACUCAUACCCUACCAGUCAUGUUUCUCUGUUUUUUUUUCAAAGAUUUUGGUAGUAUCAGUCUUUGCAAUAUUAGCCAUUUUGUUGAGUAGGUAGUAGUGUGUCAUUUUGGUUUUCACUGGAUUUUGUGAUGACAAAUGAAGUUGAACACUUUUACUUAGCUAUACUUUCAGUUUAGUUUACUUGUAAUUAGUUACAGUGUUUAAUGGCUGUUUGGGUCUCUUCUUUCAUGAAGUGCCUAUUCUUGUCUUUUGCCUAUUGUUUCCUAUUGGCUUGUUUGCAUUUUUGUUAGUGAUUUCUAAAAAGUCUCUAUAUAUUUGGGAUAAGUGGCUGUGACUCAGUUUUAUAACGUAUAAAAUAGAAAUAAUAAUGCUCCCCACAUAUGACAUUGUUAUGAGGAGUGUAUUAGUUAAUACACAGAAAAGCUUCAAGCCAAAUGUGGCACAGAGUAAGUGCUCAGUAUUAUUGUGCUUAGCCGAAAGAACACUGCUAAGAACUGUGGACACAGAAAUCCAAAGAGGCCUUCUAACUUCCAUUCAACACAUUUUGCCUUGCACAACAACUUCUCAGAAGUUCUGAAACUCACUAUACUUGCCCCUAAUUGUGCCCCAGUACUAGCUUUAGUGAGAAGUACUGUGAUAAUUUUGUUACAAUCCCAACACUAUUUUUUAAAAUUGUAUUUUUCCUUGUAGAAGAAGGCAGUUUUCAAGCUGCAAAUUGAUAGGGAAGCACUUAUUCUCACAGGCACUGCAUGGUACAAUUGGCAUUUAGCAUGUUCAUUGCAAAAGUUUUAAAAGAAUAGCACUGCAGCAGGAGAAAGAGGAAGACAACGACAAUAACAACAACAACAAAGCAAAGUAAAAACUACUCCCUGAAUGCAGAAAUAAAAUGUAUUAAAAAUUAAAGGGUGCACAAUGGGAGCAAUUAAGUGUUUUAGGCCAAGUGCCCAUUCUUGCCUCAUCCAAAUUCCCUUGGUUCACUGGCCACAUUUAAGAAAAAAGGGACAAUUUUUAUCUUCUGCCCUAGUGAAAAUUGUUUUGCUCCCAGUAGCCAGACAAUAAAAAUUUCCUAUAAACAAAUAAACACACUUUAAUCACCGUGGUUAUUCUCCUUCUAUCAGUGGAAUUUUCACAGAUAAAGUUUGUUGAGGAGGAUAGAAAAACCACAAUUUAGGCCUUUGAAACCAAAAAUGACAGAAAAAUCUUUCAUUUAUUAUUCCUCGUGGACAAUAGCUCUUAAUAUCUUCCUUCUAGGUUUCUUAAUUAAAUUCAGCUUCUUAUAUUUUUCUCUUGAUUCACCCACUUUCAUUCCCAGAUUAACCUAGAUCUUCAUAACUAUAAUUUCUCAACUGUAAAAUUUCAUUUACCUCAUUUAAAUUUCUGUAGAUUUCUCUCCCCAAGUGGAAAGUUUGAUUAUUCACUCUUUCACCUUUCUCCCCAGGCAAUAAAACUAUGCUGCUUAGACUAGUGCUAACUGAUUUAUAAACAGUCAAAUAAAUUGCAUUAUUCUGUAUAAUUCAUAUAUGUGUGAAUAUAGAGUGACUUUAGAAAGUGACAGUGAUAGUCCUAGCCUGUGAAGAAUGGCCACCAUCUUCAAAGAUCCUUCUGAAGCGUUAUCUUUUCCACACAAUCUCUGAUUUCUUCUUGGGGAAAGGACUAGUUUUCUCUUUCAAAUCCCCCAGCAUGUCUCCAAGGGCAUUAUAGUUGAUUAGUUCAUUUUUUCCUGAUCAUCUGCUCCCUGCAUCUCCAUAGAGGAUGAGACAUACCUGCCUCUUGCUAUAUGACUUUCAGUGGCCCCCUGUGCUUUUCUGUCACUGGUGCCAGGCUUGGCCAAGUGACAUUCUUCAGUCAACGGAAGGGGAGCAGAUUAGUUCCUUCUGAGAGGAAGUUUUCAAAGGCAUUAUAAGUUUUUACCAGCUUCAUUGCUCUUUUCCUGUGCCAAGUUCCUUCGGCUUGGUCCCAAGAAUGAGAAGGCACAUGGAACCAUGGGACCUGAGCUGUGGCCUCCUACAUGUGACAUGAGCAAGAAAGAAAUAUCUGAGGUUUGGGGGUCAUUGGUUACUUCAGCACUUAGCACUUUAUUGAAAUUGUUUGUUUGUUUGUCUUAUUCAAGGUGCAUUCAGGAAAUGCAUCUUCUUCGUUGGAUGUCUGCAUAGUCUGGAGCUUGGCAGUUGGUGGGAGCUAAUAAAUGUUUGUGGAAUAAGUGAAUGAUUCAAUGAAGAUCUCCAAUGAGAAGCAUCUAUUAUCUGCCAUGGCAAUUGUGCUGACUGGAGAAUGUUUCUUACCCUGAGCAGAAAUUGAAUCCUCCUGUACUUCCACUAUGGGUUUUAGUUAUAUCCCUUAGGCUCCUAUAAAACCGUCUAAUUCCUCAUCCAUAUGACAGCCCUCUAAUGCCUGAAAGCAGUGCUACUAUUCAUCUUAGGAUUUUAUCUUUGCAGAAUAGGUAUUCCCAGUCCUUAUCCAUUUUGGUAUCUCCCAUGGUUUUAAUGUCCUUGGUUUCCUGGGGGUCCUCUUUGCAGGUGCUCUUGAUGCAUGUCUCUCUUAGCACAUGGGAUCUGCAAUUAGCAUCAUUAUCCAUGUGUGGUCAGAGUAGCACAGGGUGAGGAAAGAGUGUCUCCUCCCUCUGUCUAGACAAAUUAUACUGAGUCUAACACAGCCUCCAGUUGCCUUCACUGGUCUUGGCAGCCCCAUCAUGCUGCUGACCCAUGUGGAGUCAACCAAAUCCCUUAAGUCUUUUCCAGGAGCCUUUAUUGUCAAGCUCUGCCUCAACUUGUGCAGGUGGUUUGGGGAAUCCAAAUGUAGAUCUUUAUACUUUUCCCUGUUUGCCUACUCCCCUCAUUUCAUCUAGUUACUGAUUUCUGUCUACAGUAUUUUGGGAAAUGAAGGCUUUGGUUUCUGGGAAAGGAAAUGCAGCAGGUAGUCCACACAAAGGAGAAACAACUGUGUCUUGUUAAUCCUGGUAUGGCUAGAGAGCUCCAUUUUCAGGUUCUGCAAUGUAUACUUCACUAUGUGAGGUAGCUCAUUUCUAGUACUGUACUGUCUUUGCUUGGUUUCUCAGGGGGAAUAGAAGAGUAGCAUCAAUAGCACACACCAACAAGAAGCUCUAUGUGUGACAUAUAGACUGACUGUAAGGUGUUCCCCAUAACCCCUGCUUCCCGGUAAUCAUGCUCUUUGAUUAUCCCCUUGGCUUGAGUAUAGACAUGUCCUGUAACUUGCUUCUAUCCAAUGGAAUAUGGCAAAGCCAAUGGGAUAUAUGUGAUUGCAUGUACAUAAUUAUAUUUGGUGUGAUUGUAACAUUGCUUCCUUGCUGGCUGUGAGGAGCAAGGUUCUAGGCUGUGAUCUGUUCCCUGGGAAGAGGCCACAUAGUCAGAAACUGAGGGCAACUUCUAGCUGACAGCUAGCAAGAAGCUAAGGCCCUCAACCUGACAGCUUGCCAGAAACAGGAUGCUAUCAACAACCAAAUGGGCCUGGAAAAUGAUGCUUUCCCAGUCCACCCUUGAAGUGAGGUUGCAGCACUGGCUGAUGCCUUGAUUGCAGCUUCCAGAUGAGACUCUGAGGCAGAUGAUUCAACAAAGCCAGGCCCGACUCCUGAUCCAUGGAAACUGUGAUAUA
rnacentral:lncRNA from 1 species